CGAAGGGGGCAAGCGUUGUUCGGAAUUACUGGGCGUAAAGGGCGCGUAGGCGGCUCUUUUAGUCAGGUGUGAAAGCCCUGGGCUCAACCUGGGAGUGGCACUUGAUACUGGAGGGCUAGAGAGUGGGAGAGGUUGGUGGAAUUCCCAGUGUAGAGGUGAAAUUCGUAGAUAUUGGGAAGAACACCGGUGGCGAAGGCGGCCAACUGGACCAUUUCUGACGCUGAGGCGCGAAAGCGUGGGGAGCAAACAGGAUUAGAUACCCUGGUAGUCCACGCUGUAAACGAUGAGUGCUGGACGUUGCGGAGCUUGCUCUGCGGUGUUGUAGCUAACGCGAUAAGCACUCCGCCUGGGGAUACGGCCGCAAGGUUG
rnacentral:rRNA from 1 species